rnacentral:rRNA from 1 species
UGUGAUAAGUAAUGUGAAUUGCAGAAUUCAGUGAAUCAUCGAAUCUUUGAACGCACCUUGCACCUUUUGGUAUUCCAAAAGGUACACCUGUUUGAGUG